rnacentral:ncRNA from 2 species
GUGAAGCAGAAUUCACCAAG